UACAGAGGGUGCAAACGUUGCUCGGAAUUAUUGGGCGUAAAGCGCACGUAGGCGGUUCGUUAAGUCAGAUGUGAAAGCCCCCGGGCUCAACUCGGGAAGUGCAUUUGAAACUGGCGGGCUUGAAUAUGGAAGAGGGUCGCGGAAUUCCCGGUGUAGAGGUGAAAUUCGUAGAUAUCGGGAGGAACACCAGUGGCGAAGGCGGCGACCUGGGCCAAUAUUGACGCUGAGGUGCGAAAGCGUGGGGAGCAAACAGGG
rnacentral:rRNA from 1 species